GCCGGGAUGGCGGAAUCGGCAGACGCGCGGGACUCAAACUCCCGUGGGCUUCGGCCCGUGAGGGUUCGAUCCCCUCUCCCGGCA
rnacentral:tRNA from 1 species